UACGUAGGGGGCAAGCGUUGUCCGGAAUCAUUGGGCGUAAAGAGCGCGUAGGCGGCCCGAUAAGUCCGCUGUGAAAGUCAAGGGCUUAACCCUUGAAUGCCGGUGGAAACUGUCGGGCUAGAGUCCGGAAGAGGCGAGUGGAAUUCCUGGUGUAGCGGUGAAAUGCGUAGAUAUCAGGAGGAACACCUGCGGUGUAGACGGCUUUCUGGACCAUUGCUGACGCUGAGACACGAAAGCGUGGGUAGCAAACAGG
rnacentral:rRNA from 1 species